UACGAAGGACCCAAGCGUUAUCCGGAUUUAUUGGGUUUAAAGGGUGCGUAGGCGGGUUAUUAAGUCAGUGGUGAAAGCCUUCAGCUUAACUGGAGAAUUGCCAUUGAUACUAUCAGUCUUGAAUACCGUGGAGGUCAGCGGAAUAUGUCAUGUAGCGGUGAAAUGCUUAGAUAUGACAUAGAACACCAAUUGCGAAGGCAGCUGGCUACACGAAUAUUGACACUGAGGCACGAAAGCGUGGGGAUCAAACAGG
rnacentral:rRNA from 1 species